UAAGCUGACACUAUAAACCCUAAUGAUUCUGAAAGAACAUUGAUAGCUAGUGUGAUGGGGUGUCCACAGGAAGGUUUAUCAGCCUGACAGAGCUAAUCCACAGACAUGGCCAGAAGGAGGUGCUUCACAGAUGAGUAAAGAACCCUAUGGCAAUUUGGUGAGGAACAUGUGCAAGUGAUUACCCCUGAUAAAGGGGAGUGUAAGAGGCUGUGGUGGACUGUAUAAGGCAGUCACCCCGAUACAAGGGAAGUGUGGAAAGCUAUAGCAGAAAGAAAAAAAAAAGGGAAAGAGAAAAUUGAGCCACAGUAUAUGGAAGCCUUUUUUGCAGAGGGUACUUAUAUCCUCCGAGGCUAGACUCCAGAGUCACUACCCCUGGGGAAGGGAGCUAACAAACAGCAGGGAAGGAUCCAGGCCCAACUGAGGCAGGUGCUGGAGAACCAGUAGGGACAGUGGGAGUCAUAUGUGUACCCAUAAACCUAUUUGACACAGCUGGCUGAACAACAGCUGUAUUUAUUUAAAUUCAUGCAGGAAGAAAUUAGCACCUGCUGCUGAGAUUAAGAGUGGAAAGGAGGUACCCAGGGCUGGAGGCCAGAGAUAUGCCUCCAUACCUAAAAAGAGAGUGCUCCUACAAGGACAAGAAGCCUUACCUAGAAGGCAGGAAAACAAGAAAACACAAAAGAAUCUAACCUGCGGGGAGAAAUAAAAAGGGAGGGGAGUGUUUUGCCUGUGGUCGGCAACAGCACAUAAGAAGGAGAUGCUCAUUUAUGACCUGUGAGGUGAAGGCUAUCCUAGGAGAGAUGGCUAGCCAAGAAAAGGUUGAAGAAUGACCUACAGACAAGACAAGGACAAGGGUUUGUUUUGGUGCCACAAGGUCAACCAUAUAAAAAUGCACUUCCCUCUUAAUAAAGUGCAGGGUCGCAAAUGGGAAGGCAUGGACCCCAGUGAGAUAGGAAAAAGGAGAGGGUGUCCAGGGACUGGAGUAUGCUGGGGACAGGCAGGGUAGAUGUGAUACUGAUAACCAUGGACCUGGCAGGUGGUCAACCCACACACCCAGUAGUGGAUAGUAAAGAGCUAGCAGAUUAAAAUGAUUGGGACAGACAGGGCCCUGACAGACAUAGGGACAAACAGAGGUAGAGCAGGCUACUGUGAGGACUCAGACCUUGAGUGAAAAAGUGCUGGGGAAUCCUGUGGGUCAAGUAAAGGGGCUACAAGAGAAACUAGUAGCCGACGAGCAGGCCUUGGAAAGAGCUGCAGAAGACAUACAGUUCCAGAGAGAAAAGUUGAGGAAUGCUAUGGCAGACCAUGAUAAUCUGUGUCUCCUGGUAGAUGGUUUGGAGCAGGAGUAGGAUGACUUGCAAGCCCAGCUCUGGCAACUUCAAGGGUGGAGGCAUCCCUAUCUCUGGGGGUUACAAGCUUGAGGGAGAGGGUAUGUGAGGGGGGGUCCACCCUACACAAGGCUUGAAGGGGUUAAGGUGGACAGGUGGGCCAAUUAACUGCCUAGACUGCACCUGGAGGAGGAGCCAAGGAGAAAGGACUAAGGCUCAGCUGGACGGGAACAGGAGGGGCCUGUAUAAAGCCCAGUGGCUGAAAGAACUGGGGGCUGCAGAAAGUGAGGCUGCAGUCACUCUCCAACUGAGGGAAGGUCAACCGUGCUACUUUGUCAUUCCAUGGAUAUGUACAGCUCUUUCAGAUGUGCUGACCACACAGAUUCCACUCUUGGUGACUAGCAAGCUGCAUUCUGUUCUUGGAGAAGGGUAAAAGGCUUUCUACUGGAAUCAUGACUGGAGGACUCCUAUCAAAGUAGCCAUAUGCUCCAAGGAGUAGUAAACAUGUGAUAAUGGAAGAAUAUAAGACAGGUUACUGGAAACACAAGACAGAAAAAGAAGCAGGACCUUCAGCAGAAGAGGAAACUGAAAGAAGGUGUAAAGAAGGUCCUUUUCCCACAGGAGGAGGAAAGCAUCGCCCAGAGAGAGCUGACCGAUUCCCACCCCGGAACAGUAUCUCAGACACUUCUUGUUCUGAUUCCCAGUGAUCUGGGAGUGGCCCUGCAAUCCUUCAAGGAGUGGAGGAAGGCACCAGUCUUCUCAGCGAAGAGCUUGAAACCCUCAAAGUCCUCCUGUGUUCUAAACCUCUUUCAGGAAUCCUGAGAGGUGAAGCCACAACGCCCGUCUUACCACCACAGCAGUGGAGGUGGUCCUGGCAGCCAUGUCAGCUGCAUCAACGGCCGAUUGCAAAGGUGGUUUUUGCUACCAGCUGCCAUUCCUGGAUGAUGACCUUGAAGGAGUCCCAAGAGCUCUCCAGCAGUUUAUCAAUAAAGUUGUGUAAUUUAUUAUAAUUCAUGUAGUUGUACUUUGCCAUGAGUGCCUAGUAGCUGGCAAUUCGAAACUGUAAGGUGGCUGAAUACGCCUUCCUACCGAAGGGAUCAAGGCACUUCCAGUCUCUGUCAUAGGGUGUUGUCUUAGAGUGGUGCUGUCAGCCAUGGGAUUUCACAGCGUCCACCACGAUGGAAUUAUGGAGAGCUGCCUCCAUAAAGAUGAUAUUCUGGCGAAGUUGUCUUUGUGGGAUCUUGGUCAGAGCUGCUGGCAGAGGGAACACUUUUGUUGGAUAUGGUCCUUGCCAAGAAAGAAAAGGCACUGGGAGUGCUUGUCCACAACUGGGAUCGCCUCGCUGAAAGUGCAAGGCCCUCUUGAAGGCCGGAGAGCUAGGCAUAUCCUUUUCCAGGUGGGUUCCCACCAUUGGGGGUCAAAACAAGGACAAAGUCUUCUCUCUCUCUCUAUUUUUUUUUUUAUUAGGCACAGCCAAAUAAAGAGUCAGAAGAAAGCUAAAAGGUUUCUAAAAGCUAACUAUUAACAAAUGAAAAUGAAAGUUAACGAUAUGCUAAUGGACAGCUAAAGGCCCUGUUUCUAUCUAGGGUGGUUAAGAAGGAACUGAGGGUGGUUAUCCCAGGUGCACUGGCUAGCCUCAUGGCACAGCACGAGUAGAGACAGUGCAUGUGCAGGCCCCAUAGACACUGCUACCGAAGUUCUAUGAUCAGCAGCGCAAGGACACAGACACACCUACAGUGAAGCACCCAUAGGGACACUACUUGAUGAAGGGGAUCUUUGCAACUAUUGGCCUUGUGCAGUACAGGGGCAAAAAGGUAUAGGAGAGGGGUCACUAUAUUAAAGAAGUGGAUAGUUGGGCUUCAUAGUACAAGUUACACACAAAAAAGCCCCCCAAAACACAACCUUUGAAAUAUUAAUGUUUACCUUCAGUAUUUUUUUUAACAGGAUUUUAAAAUUCUCACUCCCAGCUAAACACAUUGCUUUUCAAUUGUCUAUGUUACAGAAAACCAC